UACGUAGGGGCCUAGCGUUGUCCGGAUUUAUUGGGUACGGUAAGAGCUCGUAGGCGGUUUGGUAAGUCGGGUGAUGAAAUCUCCACGCUCAACGUGGAGGGCCACCGAUACUGCCAUGACUGGAGUCCGGUAGGGAGUGUGGAAUUCCCGGUGUAGCGGUGAAAUGACGCAGAUAUCGGGAGGAACACCAGUAGCGAAGGCGACUACCUGGACCAGCACUGACCACUGAGGCACGGAAAGCGUGGGGAGCAAACAGG
rnacentral:rRNA from 1 species